CUGCAAAGUUCUCUGUGGCUGUAUCAGUGCUAACAUCCUUAACCAUUGGCUUCAUUCUCUUCUUAUUCUUCUUGUUCUUUAGAGAAAGACUUGCUUAUAUAUUCACCAAAAAUAAAGAUGUGGUCAAUGCUGUUGGGGAUUUGUCACCUUUGUUGGCAGUCUCUAUACUUCUUAACAGUGUCCAACCAGUGCUCUCAGGUAUUCUUUACAACAAAUAGUUGCAACUUCUAUAAUUAUUUUUAGAGUCAAAAUGAAUUCUGGCGAGAAGUUUAUGUGCCAGGUGCCAAAAUUGAUUUUGAGGAAAUAGAAGCCGAUUCCAACAUGUUAUUUAUAUGAAUUGAACAGGAGUUGCUGUGGGAGCAGGGUGGCAAAGCACUGUAGCACUUGUGAAUUUAGGGUGUUAUUACAUCAUAGGUCUUCCUGUAGGAAUUGUACUUGGUAAUGUUUUCCAUUGGCAAGUCAAGGUAGGCUUUAAUUACUAGUACUCAUAAUUUCUCAUUUUCAAAUUCUACUUAGAUUCUUGUUUCUUCCAUUACACAAUUAAUCUUCUUACUUCUUCUUUAGGGUAUCUGGGUUGGAAUGUUGUUUGGAGUAGCUAUUCAAACUAUAGUGCUGCUUAUAAUCUGCUACAAAACUGAUUGGGAUGAGCAGGUAUUUUUCUGAAUCAAUUAUUACUACUAUUUGUCCUUCUUAAUUUCAUUAUCCCUUUUAAAUAAAAUUAUAUUAUUUAUGUUUUAUAUAUGUGACUUGAUGAAAUCAUUCCCGUAGGAGAAUUUAACUCCUGGUCAAUGCUGUUGGGGACUUGUCACCUUUGUUGGCAGUUUCUAUACUUCUUAACAGUGUCCAACCAGUGCUCUCAGGUAUUCUCUACAACAAAUUGUUGUAACUUAUUUACUGCAUUUUUGGAAUUUCUUCAAUAGUUAAAUCUAAAAUUGAAUCAUUCUUGGAGAGAAACCUAUAUGCUGGGUGCCAAAAUUGAUUUUGAGGAAAUAGAAGCUAAUCUAUUCCAAAUAUCAAAAUAUGUUAUUAG
rnacentral:lncRNA from 1 species